AGUGGUGUGGCUCAAGUGGUCGAGUACCUGCCUAGCAAGCAUGAGGCCCUGAGUUCAAACCCCAGUACUUCCA
rnacentral:tRNA from 1 species